GGUCAGUGAUGAGCUGUAAAAGGUCUGAAGCCGAGAGCUCCGCCCCCUCCAGCUCCUCGGAUCCUCCCAGCCCACCUGCUGUUUUUCCCAGCAUGCUCUAGGUGUGUGUGUUUGGGCUGCAUGGUGGCUGAUACCGAGAGCCGUUCUGCUCAGCGUGUGUGUGUGCGAGAGAGACAGCAUCACACACAGAGUAGAAACGUCUGACAGAAACAUUCACAUUCUCACUUCAUUACACACACACGCACACACGCACGCACACACACACACACACACACACACACACACACACACACACACAGGAGGACGGAGCUUCAGGGGGUGAGCGGCUCAUGAUCUCCAGUUUUCAAUCUGAGACC